rnacentral:rRNA from 2 species
CUGGCGGCGUGCCUAAUACAUGCAAGUCGAACGAACUCUGGUAUUGAUUGGUGCUUGCAUCAUGAUUUACAUUUGAGUGAGUGGCGAACUGGUGAGUAACACGUGGGAAACCUGCCCAGAAGCGGGGGAUAACACCUGGAAACAGAUGCUAAUACCGCAUAACAACUUGGACCGCAUGGUCCGAGUUUGAAAGAUGGCUUCGGCUAUCACUUUUGGAUGGUCCCGCGGCGUAUUAGCUAGAUGGUGGGGUAACGGCUCACCAUGGCAAUGAUACGUAGCCGACCUGAGAGGGUAAUCGGCCACAUUGGGACUGAGACACGGCCCAAACUCCUACGGGAGGCAGCAGUAGGGAAUCUUCCACAAUGGACGAAAGUCUGAUGGAGCAACGCCGCGUGAGUGAAGAAGGGUUUCGGCUCGUAAAACUCUGUUGUUAAAGAAGAACAUAUCUGAGAGUAACUGUUCAGGUAUUGACGGUAUUUAACCAGAAAGCCACGGCUAACUACGUGCCAGCAGCCGCGGUAAUACGUAGGUGGCAAGCGUUGUCCGGAUUUAUUGGGCGUAAAGCGAGCGCAGGCGGUUUUUUAAGUCUGAUGUGAAAGCCUUCGGCUCAACCGAAGAAGUGCAUCGGAAACUGGGAAACUUGAGUGCAGAAGAGGACAGUGGAACUCCAUGUGUAGCGGUGAAAUGCGUAGAUAUAUGGAAGAACACCAGUGGCGAAGGCGGCUGUCUGGUCUGUAACUGACGCUGAGGCUCGAAAGUAUGGGUAGCAAACAGGAUUAGAUACCCUGGUAGUCCAUACCGUAAACGAUGAAUGCUAAGUGUUGGAGGGUUUCCGCCCUUCAGUGCUGCAGCUAACGCAUUAAGCAUUCCGCCUGGGGAGUACGGCCGCAAGGCUGAAACUCAAAGGAAUUGACGGGGGCCCGCACAAGCGGUGGAGCAUGUGGUUUAAUUCGAAGCUACGCGAAGAACCUUACCAGGUCUUGACAUACUAUGCAAAUCUAAGAGAUUAGACGUUCCCUUCGGGGACAUGGAUACAGGUGGUGCAUGGUUGUCGUCAGCUCGUGUCGUGAGAUGUUGGGUUAAGUCCCGCAACGAGCGCAACCCUUAUUAUCAGUUGCCAGCAUUAAGUUGGGCACUCUGGUGAGACUGCCGGUGACAAACCGGAGGAAGGUGGGGAUGACGUCAAAUCAUCAUGCCCCUUAUGACCUGGGCUACACACGUGCUACAAUGGAUGGUACAACGAGUUGCGAACUCGCGAGAGUAAGCUAAUCUCUUAAAGCCAUUCUCAGUUCGGAUUGUAGGCUGCAACUCGCCUACAUGAAGUCGGAAUCGCUAGUAAUCGCGGAUCAGCAUGCCGCGGUGAAUACGUUCCCGGGCCUUGUACACACCGCCCGUCACACCAUGAGAGUUUGUAACACCCAAAGUCGGUGGGGUAACCUUUUAGGAACCAGCCGCCUAAGGUGGGACAGAUGAUU